UCGAGAAUCUUCGGCAAUGGGCGAAAGCCUGACCGAGCGAUGCCGCGUGCGGGAUGAAGGCCUUCGGGUUGUAAACCGCUGUCGUAGGGGAGAAAGGGUCGUUGAAGAAACGACUUUGAUCUAUCCUAGGAGGAAGUCCGGGCUAAGUUCGUGCCAGCAGCCGCGGUAACACGAACCGGACAAACGUUAUUCGGAAUUACUGGGCUUAAAGGGUGCGUAGGCGGUGCGGUAAGUGCGGUGUGAAAUCCCCACGGCUCAACCGUGGAAUUGCGCUGCAUACUGCCGUGCUAGAGGGAGACAGGGGUAAGCGGAACUGAUGGUGGAGCGGUGAAAUGCGUUGAUAUCAUCAGGAACACCGGUGGCGAAAGCGGCUUACUGGGUCUCUUCUGACGCUGAGGCACGAAAGCUAGGGUAGCGAACGGGAUUAGAUACCCCCGUAGUCCCUGAGCGGGCUGGCAAGGCGCAU
rnacentral:rRNA from 1 species